UUAUACCGCGAAACUGCGAAUGGCUCAUUAUAUAAGUUAUCGUUUAUUUGAUAGUACCUUACUACUUGGAUAACCGUGGUAAUUCUAGAGCUAAUACAUGCUAAAAAUCCCGACUUCGGAAGGGAUGUAUUUAUUAGAUUAAAAACCAAUGCCCUUCGGGGCUCACUGGUGAUUCAUGAUAACUCCUCGAAUCGCAUGGCCUUGUGCCGGCGAUGGUUCAUUCAAAUUUCUUCCCUAUCAACUUUCGAUGUUUGGGUAUUGGCCAAACAUGGUUGCAACGGGUAACGGAGGGUUAGGGCUCGACCCCGGAGAAGGAGCCUGAGAAACGGCUACUACAUCCAAGGAAGGCAGCAGGCGCGCAAAUUACCCAAUCCCGACACGGGGAGGUAGUGACAAUAAAUACUGAUACAGGGCUCUUUUGGGUCUUGUAAUUGGAAUGAGUACAAUUUAAAUCCCUUAACGAGGAACAAUUGGAGGGCAAGUCUGGUGCCAGCAGCCGCGGUAAUUCCAGCUCCAAUAGCGUAUAUUAAAGUUGUUGUGGUUAAAAAGCUCGUAGUUGAACCUUGGGCCUGGCUGGCCGGUCCGCCUCACCGCGUGUACUGGUCCGGCCGGGCCUUUCCCUCUGUGGAACCCCAUGCCCUUCACUGGGUGUGGCGGGGAAACAGGACUUUUACUGUGAAAAAAUUAGAGUGCUCCAGGCAGGCCUAUGCUCGAAUACAUUAGCAUGGAAUAAUAGAAUAGGACGUGUGGUUCUAUUUUGUUGGUUUCUAGGACCGCCGUAAUGAUUAAUAGGGACAGUCGGGGGCAUCAGUAUUCAAUUGUCAGAGGUGAAAUUCUUGGAUUUAUUGAAGACUAACUACUGCGAAAGCAUUUGCCAAGGAUGUUUUCAUUAAUCAGGAACGAAAGUUAGGGGAUCGAAGACGAUCAGAUACCGUCGUAGUCUUAACCAUAAACUAUGCCGACUAGGGAUCGGACGGUGUUAUUUUUUGACCCGUUCGGCACCUUACGAGAAAUCAAAGUG
rnacentral:rRNA from 1 species